CAUUUGAGCAAGAUUUCCCUAUACAGCAUAGGAGAUAUGUGGUCAUCUAUCCCCUGUUUGGAGACCACCAAUUGAAGGAAGAGAAGAGAAAUCUCCUAUCUUGCUUUAAAAGAGCAUGGCAGAACCUAGUCUUCUCAUGAGAAUGAACUAACCAAGAACAAGUUGAAGCCAGAAAAAGAGAGAAUUUCACACCCUGGCUGGUAGAAACUAUUCAUCCAUCAGAGAAAACAUGCCAGAGAGGACUAGUCCAGUGAGAGCAGAAUAAUACCAUCACCUGAAGACAUCAAAGGCCCUUCAGAACUGGAUAUGUGAAUCACCUGUCUAGAAGUACAUCUUGACCACAAAUGUU
rnacentral:lncRNA from 1 species